AUUGAACGCUGGCGGCAUGCCUUACACAUGCAAGUCGAACGGUAACGGGCCUUCGGGCGCCGACGAGUGGCGAACGGGUGAGUAAUGCAUCGGAACGUACCUUUCAGUGGGGGAUAACGUAGCGAAAGUUACGCUAAUACCGCAUAUUCUGUGAGCAGGAAAGCAGGGGAUCGCAAGACCUUGCGCUGAUUGAGCGGCCGAUGUCAGAUUAGCUAGUUGGCGAGGUAAAGGCUCACCAAGGCGACGAUCUGUAGCGGGUCUGAGAGGAUGAUCCGCCACACUGGAACUGAGAAACGGUCCAGACUCCUACGGGAGGCAGCAGUGUGGAAUUUUGGACAAUGGGGGCAACCCUGAUCCAGCCAUGCCGCGUGAGUGAAGAAGGCCUUCGGGUUGUAAAGCUCUUUCGGCCGGGAAGAAAUCGUAUGGGCUAAUACCCUGUGCGGAUGACGGUACCGGCAUAAGAAGCACCGGCUAACUACGUGCCAGCCGCCGCGGUAAGAC
rnacentral:rRNA from 1 species